AUCUAUGGCCAUACGACUCUGAACGUGCCCAAUCUCAUCUAAUCUCAGAAGCUAAGCAGGGUUGGGCCUGAUUAGUACUUGAAUGGGAGUUCUGUUCCAUGUCCAGCUAUGCUGAAGUUG
ensembl:rRNA 5S_rRNA 5S ribosomal RNA